AUUGAACGCUGGCGGCAUGCUUUACACAUGCAAGUCGAACGGCAGCGCGGGCUUCGGCCUGGCGGCGAGUUGCGAACGGGUGAGUAAUGCAUCGGAACGUGCCCAGUCGUUGGGGAUAGCCCGGCGAAAGCCGGCUUAAUACCGCAUACGACCUGAGGGUGAAAGCGGGGGACCGAAAGGCCUCGCGCUAUUUGCGCGGCCGAUGUCGGAUUAGCUAGUUGGUGGGGUAAAGGCUUACCAAGGCGACGAUCCGUAGCUGGUCUGAGAGGACGACCAGCCACACUGGAACUGAGACACGGCCCAGACUCCUACGGGAGGCAGCAGUGGGGAAUUUUGGACAAUGGGGGCAACCCUGACCCAGCCAUGCCGCGUGCGGGAAGAAGGCCUUCGGGUUGUAAACCGCUUUUGUUCGGGAAGAAAUACUCUGGGCUAAUACCCCGGGGGGAUGACGGUACCGGAAGAAUAAGCACCGGCUAACUACGUG
rnacentral:rRNA from 1 species